UUAGUCCUAACCUUACCGUUAAUUCUUGCUAAACAUAUACAUGCAAGUAUCCGCGCUCCAGUGUAAAUGCCCUCGGUGCCUUACUAAGGCCCAAGGAGCGGGCAUCAGGCACACCCACAGCCGUAGCCCAAGACGCCUUGCUCAGCCACGCCCCCACGGGUACUCAGCAGUAAUUAACAUUGUCACACAAGAAACCCAAAUUAACCGUAAUACGGCGUAAAGCGUGACAUUAUGCUAUCCCUCUAACUAGGAUCAAAAUACAACUGAGCUGUCAUAAGCCCAUGAUGUACCCAAAAUCAACCUGAAAACGAUCCCAGCCCCAACGAUCUAUUAACCGUCACGAAAGCUAGAAUACAAACUGGGAUUAGAUACCCCACUAUGCCUAGCCCUAAAUCCUGAUACUUCCCCCACCAAAGUAUUCGCCCGAGAACUACGAGCACAAACGCUUAAAACUCUAAGGACUUGGCGGUGCCCCAAACCCACCUAGAGGAGCCUGUUCUGUAAUCGAUAACCCACGAUACACCCGACCACUCCUUGCCAAAGCAGCCUACAUACCGCCGUCGCCAGUUCACCUCCCCUGAGAGAACAACAGUGAACACAAUAGCCCCAUCCGCUAACAAGACAGGUCAAGGUAUAGCCUAUGGAGUGGAAGAAAUGGGCUACAUUUUCUAGAAUAGAAAACCACGGAAAGAGAUAUGAAAUCACCUCUGGAAGGCGGAUUUAGCAGUAAAGAAGGAUAAUGAAGCCACCUUUAAACUGGCCCUGGGGCACGUACAUACCGCCCGUCACCCUCCUCAAAAGCUGUAACUCCCAAUAUACCUAAUUUCCUAGCUAGCUAAAGAUGAGGUAAGUCGUAACAAGGUAAGUGUACCGGAAGGUGUACUUAGCAUACCAAGACGUAGCUAUAACAAAAGCAUUCAGC
rnacentral:rRNA from 1 species